GAUGAACGCUGGCGGCGUGCUUAACACAUGCAAGUCGAACGGAAAGGCUCCUGCUUGCAGGGGUACUCGAGUGGCGAACGGGUGAGUAACACGUGGGUGAUCUGCCCUGCACUUCGGGAUAAGCCUGGGAAACUGGGUCUAAUACCGGAUAGGACGAUGGUUUGGAUGCCAUUGUGGAAAGUUUUUUCGGUGUGGGAUGAGCUCGCGGCCUAUCAGCUUGUUGGUGAGGUAAUGGCCUACCAAGGCGUCGACGGGUAGCCGGCCUGAGAGGGUGUACGGCCACAUUGGGACUGAGAUACGGCCCAGACUCCUACGGGAGGCAGCAGUGGGGAAUAUUGCACAAUGGGCGCAAGCCUGAUGCAGCGACGCCGCGUGGGGGAUGACGGCCUUCGGGUUGUAAACUCCUUUCGCUAGGGACGAAGCGCAAGUGACGGUACCUGGAGAAGAAGCACCGGCUAACUACGUG
rnacentral:rRNA from 1 species